UACGAAGGGGGGCUAGCGUUGCUCGGAAUCACUGGGCGUAAAGGGCGCGUAGGCGGCCAUUCAAGUCAGAGGUGAAAGCCCAAGGCUCAACCUUGGAACUGCCUUUGAUGCUGUUUGGCUUGAGACCGGUAGAGGUAAGUGGAACUGCGAGUGUAGAGGUGAAAUUCGUAGAUAUUCGCAAGAACACCAGUGGCGAAGGCGGCUUACUGGACCGGGUUCGUGACGCUGAGACGCGAAAGCGUGGGGGAGCAAACAGG
rnacentral:rRNA from 1 species